AGCCAGACUCCUACGGGAGGCAGCAGUAGGGAAUCUUUCACAAUGGGCGAAAGCCUGAUGGAGCAACGCCGCGUGCAGGAUGAAGGCCUUCGGGUUGUAAACUGCUUUUAUAAGCGAGAAAUAUGAUGGUAACUUAUGAAUAAGGAUCGGCUAACUCCGUGCCAGCAGCCGCGGUAAUACGGAGGAUGCGAGCGUUAUCCGGAUUUAUUGGGUUUAAAGGGUGCGUAGGCGGGCUGUUAAGUCAGCGGUAAAAGCCGGGGGCUCAACCCCGGCGAGCCGUUGAAACUGGCUGUCUUGAGAUGUCGAGAGGUAUGCGGAAUGCGCAGUGUAGCGGUGAAAUGCUUAGAUAUUGCGCAGAACUCCGAUUGCGAAGGCAGCAUACCGGCGGCGAUCUGACGCUGAGGCACGAAAGCGUGGGUAUCGAACAGGAUUAGAUACCCUUGUAA
rnacentral:rRNA from 1 species